GCCGUAGCUCAGUUGGUUAGAGCGCCUGUCUAGUAAACAGGAGGUCAUGGGUUAGUGAGUUCAGUUAUGAUUG